GGAAAAUUUAAUGUUAAAUAGAUAAUUUUUUAUUAAAAAGAUUAUUCCAAAUAAAUUUUAUUUCGAUUACAUGUGAUGCCAAAGUUGACAUAAGAAAUAAUAAUAGUCUAAUUGAAGUUUUUAAAAAAAAUAUAAAAAAUAAACAACUUAUUGAGGAUGAAUAUCAAAUGCGUGUUGUACAAAAUGUUUAUGAUGGCAUUAAUGCAUAAAAAGCAGAAAAACCAAGUUUUUUAAAUAAAUUAGUUGGAAAAGAAAAAAAGACAAAAAAACCACCAGAGGGUUUGUAUUUGUAUGGUGCUGAUGGUGAUAUUGGAAAAACCAUGUUGAUGGAUCUCUUUUAUGAUUGUUGUAUAAGAUUGAGGAAAAGAAACGUGUACAUUUUUAUUUAUUCAUGCUAGAUGUACAUGGAAAAAUUCAUCAACUUAAAAAAACAACAAAACGU
rnacentral:lncRNA from 1 species